AAGAUUUUCCUUUUGGCAUCAAUAACCUCUAAAAGCAUUAUUAUAUUGCUGCAGAUUCCGUUUUCUGUAGUCCUCGGUUGGAUUAUGGAGCAACCUAUGGAUUUAAACUUUCAGCUUUUCGAGACAGCAACACUUUUUAUAUUCGUCUUCAUAGUAGCCUUAAUGUUGCAGGAAGGAACUCAUUAUUUUAAGGGACUGAUGCUUCUUCUUUGCUAUCUGAUAGUCGCAGCAAGUUUUAUUGUACAUGUUGAUGUUUCUCCAGGAGUUCAGCUUAAAUUUCACUUUGUCUAGCAUGUGACUUGGAUUCCUGAUGUAUCAUAGAUGCCAGAUGCUUUAUGACAUUGUUGAAACCUUGUAUUUUGAUGGUUCCAAUUGAAGACCCUGUU